GUGGUUGUAGCUCAGCUGGUUAGAGCGCGCGUCUGUGGCACGCGAGGUCGCGGGUUCAAAUCCCGUCAGCCACC
rfam:Elusimicrobia bacterium CG1_02_56_21 cg1_0.2_scaffold_6290_c, whole genome shotgun sequence.